GUACUCAGUUCGGAUUGUAGUCUGCAACUCGACUACAUGAAGCUGGAAUCGCUAGUAAUCGCGGAUCAGAAUGCCGCGGUGAAUACGUUCCCGGGUCUUGUACACACCGCCCGUCACACCAUGGGAGUCAGUAACGCCCGAAGCCGGUGACCCAACCUAACAAGGAGGGAGCCGUCGAAGGCGGGACGGAUGACUGGGGUGAAGUCGUAACAAGGUAUC
rnacentral:rRNA from 1 species